CGCAAGAUGUUUGUGCACAUUAGAUCCAAAACCAAUUCAGGGGCAACUCUGACUUUGGUGAUUCAUAAUGCGUUACAGACCGCAAGAGCUUGUCUCUGCGGCACGCCUUAUAGUUUUCUGCCCUAUCAUGUAGAAGGUGGGAUAGAGGCCUACCUUGCAUUUAACGGGUAACGGAGAAUCAGGGUUUGAUUCCGGAGAGGGAGCCUGAGAAACGGCUACCACAUCCAAGGAAGGCAGCAGACGCGCAAAUUACCCAAUCUCAAUACGAGGAGGUAGUGACGAAAAAUAGCAAUGUAGGGCCUUAUGGUCUUGCAAUUGAAAUGAGUACAAUUUAAACGAUCUAACGAGGAUCAAAUUGAGGGCAAGUCUGGUGCCAGCAGCCGCGGUAACUCCAGCUCAAUUAGCGUAUAUUCAUGUUGUUGCAGCUAAAACGCUCGUAGUCAAACCUUUGGACAUUGUUUUAUGGUCUUUCUUCUUGAUUGUACUGUAGAACAUGUUCUUUUGUUUCUAUUUGCAAGGGUGCUUUACUGUGCCUUUGUUGGUAGAUACAGGUUACUUUGAAAAAAUCAGAGUGUUCAAAGCAGGCUUUAUGCCAUGAAUACAUCAGCAUGGAAUAAUAGAAUAGGACUUUGGUUCUAUUUUGUUGGUUUCUAGGACUAAAGUAAUGGUUAAUAGGGGCGGUCGGGGGCGUUGAUAUUCCAAUGUCAGAGGUGAAAUUCUUGGAUUUUUGGAAGAUCAACUAAUGCGAAAGCAUUCGCCAAGGACGCUCUCAUUGAUCAAGAACGAAAGUUUGGGGAUCGAAGAGGAUCAGAGACCCUCGUAGUCCAAACUAUAAAUGAUGCCAACUAGGGAUUGGUGGGCGUUUUCUUAACCCCAUCAGCAUCUUCCGGGAAACCAAAGUUUUUGGGUUCUGGGGGGAGUAUGGUCGCAAGGCUGAAACUUGAAGAAAUUGACGGAAGGGCACCACCAGGAGUGGAGCCUGCGGCUUAAUUUGACUCAACACGGGAAAACUUACCAGGACCAGACAUAGUGAGGAUUGACAGAUUGAGAGCUCUUUCUUGAUUCUAUGGGUGGUGGUGCAUGGCCGUUCUUAGUUGGUGGAGUGAUUUGUCUGCUUAAUUGCGAUAACGAACGAGAUCUUAACCUGCUAAAUAGUGUGUUGGCACCUUGUGUGCUGAUACUCACUUCUUAACGGGACUGUGAAAGAAAAUUUCACGGAAGCAUGAGGCGAUAACAGGUCUGUGAUGCCCUUCGAUGUUCUGGGCCGCACGCGCGCUACAAUGACAAUGUCAGCGAGUUUGUCCUUGGUCGAAAGGCUUGGGUAAUCUUUAAACAUUGUCGUGCUGGGGAUUGACUAUUGCAAUUAUUAGUCAUAAACGAGGAAUCCCUUGUAGUCUCAUUUCAUCAAAAUGAGACGAAUACGUCCCUGCCCUUUGUACACACCGCCCGUCGCUCCUACCGAUUGGAUGAUCCGGUGAAGUCUUCGGACUGUGAAUUAGAUGUCACUUGUGACAACUGUUUCAUGGGAAGUUGAUUAAACCUUAUCAUCUAGAGGAAGGAAAAGUCGUAACAAGGUU
rnacentral:rRNA from 1 species